GCCGCGGUCCUGCUAACCCGGCGGGCAGAACAAGGGCAUACCAAUGACCACUAAGUUGAGGAGCUGCUUCCCGCCCUGCCGCUUUUCCAAUUCCGCUUUCACGUCUAUCUGCUGCCUCAGCUUGCCAGACUUUCUCACUGGUGUCGGAGUGGAGCCCAGCUCUUCUGAUGUUUGAAGGGAAGGAGGUGGGAGGGCAGAUUUUGGAGUGCCGGUCUCAGGAAUGUUAGGAGAAGCUACGCUCACAUCAUCACCAGGAGGCCCUUUGUGAGGAGCGCGCACACUGAGUCCAUUUUCCUCAGAAGUUAAGCUGCAGAAAGAUGAGAAAAACUGUGAGAAAGUCAUUUCAGACACUGCCCAACUGAGUCAGGGGGCAGGGGUAUCUCUUGGCAACCCCUGAUAUUCUGGGUCUCAGGUCUGUCAAGCUGGAAAAGAGAAGUGACCAGAGCCAAUCCACACAAACGAACACUGGGAACCCUAGGUGUCUACUAAACAUGAAGACUCCGCCCUGGCAGACAGCAGGCAGCAACGCUGCUGCAUCCUAAGAGGUAAACACAGCUUUAAACUUUCAAAUGUCUCUAAGAUCUAAAAAUGCCCAUUCUGGGCCCAGGCCUACACCCACUGCUAGAACGGCAAGAAUAAAUUGGUAACAAUGUUUC
rnacentral:lncRNA from 1 species